AUUGAACGCUGGCGGCAGGCCUAACACAUGCAAGUCGAGCGAGCGGCGGACGGGUGAGUAAUGUCUGGGAAACUGCCUGAUGGAGGGGGAUAACUACUGGAAACGGUAGCUAAUACCGCAUACCAUCCGAUUUGCCCAGCGGGGAUUAGCUAGUAGGUAGGGGAACGGCACACCUAGGCGACGCUCCCUAGCUGGUCUGAGAGGAUGACCAGCCCCACUGGAACUGGGACACGGUCCAGACUCCUACGGGAGGCAGCAGUGGGGAAUUGUGCACAAUGGGCGCAAGCCUGAUGCAGCCAUGCCGCGUGUGUGAAGAAGGCCUUCGGGUUGUAAAGCACUUUCAGCGGGGAGGCGUUACCCGCAGAAGAAGCACCGGCUAACUCCGUGCCAGCAGCCGCGGUAAUAC
rnacentral:rRNA from 1 species